ACCACCCGCACCCACAAAGCAACCUGAACUGAUCACAACAGACACGCUGAGAACAAUGCUGGGUGACUUACAGCGGGUGAUCCAGGCAGAUGUUGCACAGCUCCGGGCGGAGGUGACAGGCCUGAUCGGGCGCAUGGGAGCCAUCGAGGCCCACACGGACAAGCAGGCCCAAGAAAUUGCGGACCUACGAAAAGAGCUACAAACGCUCAAACAGCACCAAGCAACUACGGACCACCGAUUUGCGGCCCUUGAGGAUCAAAGACGCCGCAAUAACCUCAAGAUCCGAGGCGUCCCAGACGAAGUCUUGCCGGGUGAACUCCCACACCUGGUGAGGAGACUAGCGGGAGCACUACUGAAGCCGCAACAAGCGAAAGCCUUGAGCUUUGAGGCGAUAUUUAGAAUCCCCAAACCGAGGACGGCCCCAG